rnacentral:rRNA from 1 species
AUUGAACGCUGGCGGCAGGCUUAACACAUGCAAGUCGAGCGGGGUGAGGUGCUUCGGUACUGAUCCUAGCGGCGGACGGGUGCGUAAUGGUUAGGAAUCUGCCAUCUAGCGGGGGACAACAUUCCGAAAGGAAAGCGAAUACCGCAUACGUCCUACGGGAUAAAGCAGGGAUCCUUGGGAGCUUGCGCUAAAUGACGAGCUUAAGUCGGAUUAGCUAGUUGGUGGGGUAAAGGCCUACCAAGGCGACGAUCUGUAGCGGGUCUGAGAGGAUGAUCCGCCACACUGGGACUGAGACACGGCCCAGACUCCUACGGGAGGCAGCAGUGGGGAAUAUUGGGCAAUGGGCGGAAGCCUGAUCCAGCCAUGCCGCGUGUGUGAAGAAGGCCUUUUGGUUGUAAAGCACUUUAAGCGAGGAGGAGGCUACCUGGAUUAAUACUCUGGGAUAGUGGACGUUACUCGCAGAAUAAGCACCGGCUAACUCUGUGCCAGCAGCCGCAGUAACAC